UUUAUGGGAUUGGGAAUAGUGGAUAUGGGAUACAGGGACGAGUUCCUGCCCCUCAUGUUUGACUGGCACCCCAGGUACAGAAACUAUGGGAUUUAUGGGAUUUGUGGGGUUUGGGGUCAGGGAUUUGUGGGAUUUAUGGGAUUUAUGGGAUACAGGGACGAGUUCCUGCCCCUCAUGUUCGACCGGCACCCCAGGUAUGGGAUUGUGGGAUUUGGGGGGUUUGGGGUUAAAGAUUUAUGGGAUUUGUGGGAUUUAUGGGGUUUAUGGGAUUUAUGGGAUACAGGGACGAGUUCCUGCCCCUCAUGUUCGACUGGCACCCCAGGUACAGAAACUGUGGGAUUUAUGGGAUUUCUGGGAUUUCUGGGAUUUGUGGGAUUUUUGGGAUUUAUGGGAUUUAUGGGAUAUGGGGAUGAGUUCCUGCCUCUCAUGUUUGACCGGCACCCCAGGUACCGGAUCUGUGGGAUUUAUGGGGUUUGGGGUUAAGGAUUUUUGAGAUUUAUGGGAUUUAUGGGAUUUAUGGGAUUUACGAGAUUUAUGGGAUACAGGGAUGAGUUCCUGCCCCUCAUGUUCGACCGGCACCCCAGGUACCGGGAUUGUGGGAUUUAUGGGGUUUAUGGGAUUUGUGGGAUUUAUGGGAUUUAUAGGGUUUGGGGUUAAGGAUUUGUGGGAUUUAUGGGGUUUGUGGGGUUUGAGGUCAGGGAUUUGUGGGAUUUAUGGGAUUUUUGGGAUUUCUGGGGUACAGGGACGAGUUCCUGCCCCUCAUGUUCGACCGGCACCCCAGGUACAGGAUCUGUGGGAUUUGGGGGAUUUCUGGGAUUUGGGGUCGAGGAUUUGUGGGAUUUAUGGGAUUUAUGGGAUUUGUGGGAUUUAUGGGAUACAGGGAUGAGUUCCUGCCCCUCAUGUUCGACCGGCACCCCAGGUACCGGGAUUGUGGGAUUUAUGGGGUUUGAGGUCAGGGAUUUGUGGGAUUUAUGGGGUUUAUGGGAUUUAUGGGAUUGGGAAUGUAGAAUGUGGAAUAUAGGGACGAGUUCCUGCCCCUCAUGUUCGACCGGCACCCCAGGUACGGGAUCUAUGGGAUUUAUGGGGUUUGGGGUUAAGGAUUUAUGGGAUUUAUGGGAUACAGGGACGAGUUCCUGCCCCGCAUGUUCGACCGGCACCCCAGGUAUGGGAUUGUGGGAUUUGUGGGGUUUGGGGUUAAAGAUUUGUGGGAUUUAUGGGAUUUAUGGGAUACAAGGAUGAGUUCCUGCCCCUCACGUUCGACCGGCACCCCAGGUACAGGAACUAUGGGACUUAUGGGGUUUGGAGUUAAGGGUUUGUGGGAUUUAUGGGAUUUGUGGGGUUUGCAGUGAGGGAUUUGUGGGAUUUGUGGGAUUUAUGGGAUUUAUGGGAUUUAUGGGAUUUAUGGGAUUUAUGGGAUACAGGGAUGAGUUCCUGCCCCUCAUGUUCGACCGGCGCCCCAGGUACAGAAUCUAUGGGAUUUGGGGGAUUUCUGGGAUUUGUGGGAUUUAUAGGAUUUAUGGGAUUUCUGGGAUUUCUGGGAUACAAGGAGGAGUUCCUGCCCCUCAUGUUCGACCGGAACCCCACGUACGGGAUUGUGGGAUUUGUGGGAUUUGAAGUCAGGGAUUUGUGGGAUUUAUGGGGUUUAUGGGAUUUAUGGGAUUUAUGGAAUUUAUAGGAUUUAUGGGAUUUGUGGGAUUUCUGGGAUACAGGGACAAGUUCCUGCCCCUUGUGUUUAACCGGCACCCCAGGUACCAGGUUUGGGGUAUUUGGGGUCAGGGAUUUGUGGGAUUUAUGGAAUUUAUGGGAUUUAUCGGAUUUAUAGGAUUUAUGGGAUUUGUGGGAUUUAUGGGGUUUGUGGGGUUUGAGGUCAGGGAUUUGUGGGAUUUAUGGGAUUUGUGGGAUUUAUGGGAUGCAGGGACAAGUUCCUGCCCCUUGUGUUUAACCGACACCCCAGGUUUCCAUUUUCCCCCCUAUUUUUCACCCAAUUUCUCC
ensembl:lncRNA